AUGAUUUUUUAUUAUUUGUGAACGUACUACGAACAAACAAAAAAAUAUUAUAGUCAAAAAAAAUUAAAUCA
rnacentral:misc_RNA from 1 species